GGUGAACACUGAGAGUAAAUCAUUUCACUUUUAAAUAGGUAACAUUUAGAAUCCAAGUGAAAUCCUACGUAAAUAGCAUUAAAAAUAAGGUAAUACAAUAAUGUGCAGAGAACACAGCUAAGAAAUUUGUGGCAAAACAUUUGGUUUAUAAAUACCAUUUUUGUGUACUUGUGUGGCUCUUUGUAAUUGGAAGUAUAUGGUCAUACUGAUACAUAUGAUUUUG